CCUACGGGGGGCAGCAGUGGGGAAUAUUGGACAAUGGGCGAAAGCCUGAUCCAGCCAUGCCGCGUGUGUGAAGAAGGCCUUCGGGUUGUAAAGCACUUUCAGUGGGGAAGAAAGCCUUGGGGCUAAUACCCUCGAGGAAGGACAUCACCCACAGAAGAAGCACCGGCUAACUCCGUGCCAGCAGCCGCGGUAAUACGGAGGGUGCGAGCGUUAAUCGGAAUUACUGGGCGUAAAGCGCGCGUAGGCGGUCUGAUAAGCCGGUUGUGAAAGCCCCGGGCUCAACCUGGGAACGGCAUCCGGAACGUCAGGGCUAGGGGGCGGGGGAGGAAGGUGGAUUCCCCGGGGUGCGGGGGAAUGCGGUAGAGAUCGGGGGAAAACCCGGUGGCGAGGGCGCCCUCUGGACUGACACUGACGCUGAGGUGCGAAAGCGUGGGUAGCAAACAGGAUUAGAUACCCGGGUAGUC
rnacentral:rRNA from 1 species